AUUCAUCUCUGUUUGCCUGCCUCUCCCUUGGCAAGCGUAGUCCUCUUAAUGGCGUUGUAGAUGGCUCCACGUCCAUCAGGAUGGAAAUUAAUUGGUGGCUAUCCAUCAUUCUGUGGGUUCCUCCCCUGCUAAACACUGGAUGUCAGGAGCUGAUGAACUGGAGAGUCUGAUCCAACAGUAAUUUGGAACUCCAGCCUCCACAGGUCCAGGUGGCCGCAGACUCUGCAUCUCUCACCAGCUCCCGGGUGAUGCUGAUGUUGCUGCUCCUGAGACACCAUGAUGAGCAGCGAGGAUCUCGGCGGUGGACCUGGCCCUGACCAAAAUGACUUGGUGUCCUUGGGCAAGUGACUUUCCUUUGCCGAGGCUUACUCUCUCCUGUCGGUAAAACAAAGCAAAACAAAAAAAUGAAACAUAAGAAGAAAAAAUUUCCUUUCCAGGAGCGAUGGGUUUGCCUCUCAACAUGACACACCUGGUCUACCCUGGCCUGGUCUGGCUGCGGAGCGGCACGCCCCGGCCGUGGAAGCUCAGACAGCAGCUGCACAAGCCUGCUUCCUCCACCAGUUUCUCAGGAGGGGACCCUGCCUCCCAACUGCUUAAGGUUUGUAAGGCUCAUGGUGGGGACCUCUAAGAGGCUGAUGGGGGUGGGGGUAAGGUCUAAUUUUACAGAUAAAACGAAAUGCAACUAAUGCAUUAUUUUCAUCUAAAUUCCCUUCCUUGUGGCUCAUUUUGACACACGGGAAAUAAAUUGCCAUCAACCCCCGCCCCCCAAACCAGCUGCUCCCGGUCAGAGCGAAUGGAUCAUGAUUUAAUGAAGAGAGCCAUCUGUUACAGGGUAAAAAUCCUAAUUAAGCAAUAUAUGAAUCAGAACAGAAUUAGCCAUCAAGUCGUCAGAGUUCUGUAACCGCGGAGAGGAACACGGCGUCGUUGCCACAUGGAAUAGUCUUCCUCUAAGGAAACGCAAGACUGCAAAGGGAACCCCACUCCGUCCCCUGGGAGGAUGCAGCCCCGACAGCAGGGGUCAGAUUCUGGGGCAUUAACUGAAAUGGACAACGGCUUCCUGAGGAACCCUGGUGUCCUGAGUAAUGAACACCCCUGCUGUUUGUCCGGCAUGUCAGUUUGCCAAAUGCUUUCCCACCCAGGAGUACCUUGAACCCUCUGCCACUCACCCCCGUGGAUGGGGCUGAUGAUCACGGCCAUAGGGUCAGUGAAUCACUCAAGAGCCCACAGCCAGAAAGGAGACAAGUCAAGCCCAGAAUGCAGGCCAUUGGCCUCCACAUCCUGCC
rnacentral:lncRNA from 1 species